rnacentral:rRNA from 1 species
GACGUAGGGCGCGAGCGUUGUCCGGAUUUAUUGGGCGUAAAGAGCUCGUAGGCGGCUUGUCGCGUCGACCGUGAAAACUUGGGGCUCAACCCCAAGCCUGCGGUCGAUACGGGCAGGCUCGAGUUCGGUAGGGGAGACUGGAAUUCCUGGUGUAGCGGUGAAAUGCGCAGAUAUCAGGAGGAACACCGGUGGCGAAGGCGAGUCCCUGGACAACUCCUGACACUGAGGCACGAAAGCUAGGGGAGCAAACAGG